AUCAUGCUCAGAAAACAAUGUGAUAACCACUUCAGCUCUACAAUGGUCAGCCUUCGAGCAUUCGCCAGACAUAUUCUUGGAUAACAUGGUUAAGAUCAAGAAGCAGCGCUCUGUCGAAAGGUCACUACACUUCUACUUGUGUUUGCCGCGGUGUGAGAAAGCUUGCCUGGCUUAUUUACCCAUGUAUACGGGUCCGCACUGAUGGCCGUCAACGGCUUGGCCCAUACGGCCCAGUUGCGCCGAAUACUAGGCUGGUAUGAUUCUCCGGGUUAUUUCUCAGUUAAAACCGUCUUUUUCUAUGGGAUCGCCUUCAUUCUCAUCUCGCCUGGAAUUGUCCACUACAACAAGGCUCAGCAGAUUGCGGCUGGAACAGUAUCCAGAGGACAAAAUGAAUCCGAACGUAUUUGUGAAAGCAUGGAUAUUAGAAAUUCACUGGAUUCAUUCUCGAAACUGGAAAAAUGUGAAGUUAUAGAAGGCUUCCUUCAAAUCCUCCUCUUCGACAGUGUCAACGAAACGGAAUUGUCGAAGAUGAGCUUCCCCCUUUUGACUGAAAUAACCGAUUAUUUGUUAUUAUAUAGAGUGAAUGGACUGCGUAGCCUAGGACAUCUAUUUCCAAAUUUAGCCGUAAUCCGUGGUCAAAAUACGUUUCUCGAUAACGCCUUUGUGAUAUUUGAAAUGUCCACGUUACAAGAAAUUGGUUUGUAUUCCUUAACUGACAUCACACACGGUUUUGUGCGUAUCGAUAAAAAUCCGUCUUUGUGUUUCGUGCAUACCGUGGAUUGGGACCACAUCGUCCAUGAUAAAACUGAAAGAAAUUUCGUGAAAAGUCUCAAGCCAGAGAAUGAGUGUCCGGUAUGUCCAUCUCAUACCGAUGGGAUGACCCGUGAAAACAAUAGUAUUAGCGUUUCUUGCCCGAAAGCACGGACUAAGAGUGAAGUAUUCGAAAAAGACAAGUUUCUAUGUUGGAACAAAAAACACUGCCAAAAAGUAUGUUCAGGUAAUUGCAAAGCAUGCAACAAUAAGGGAGAGUGUUGCAGCGAUUCGUGUCUAGCUUGCAGCGAUGAGGAUCCCCGGCUCUGUACUGUGUGUCCGAAGUAUAGUAUUGGUUUUGGAAGGAACAAACAGUGCAUGCAAAAUUGCCCAAAAGGACUUGUGGGAUAUUUGGACAGACGCUGCAUCUCACCUGAAGAAUGUAAGAAAAUGCCAAAGCCAAUUGAACUCCAUGCUACAAGUGAGCCUGAAACACCGUACAAGGUUCAUAAAAAUUCCUGCAUACUCCAUUGUCCGCCAGACCACACUGAUAACUACAAAGAUCAUACAUGCGAUCCAUGUGGAGGAAGAUGCAACAAAACUUGUAACGGCAUCAAUAUCGAUAGUAUUACUGUUGCGAAGCAAUUGAGAGGUUGUACUCAUAUCAAAGGUGCCCUCGAAAUCCAAAUUAGAGGAGGAACAAAUGUAACUGAACUAGAGGAGAAUCUGAGAAUGAUCGAAGAAAUAUCAGAUUACCUUAAAAUUGUGAGAUCAUUUUCGUUGGUUUCGUUGAAUUUUUUGAAAAGUCUCAAGCGAAUCAGAGGUGUGAAUCUGGAGGGCAACAAAUUUGUGUUCAUCGUGUUAGACAACCAAAACUUACAGGAACUUUGGGAUUGGCGUAACAGAACCUUGACAAUAGACAGGGGAACAUUGUAUUUCCAUUUCAAUCCGAAAUUAUGCCUGAAUAAAAUAGAGAAAUUAGCAGAAAUUACUGGAAUAAAAAAUUUUACGGAAUUGGAAGUUGCAUCAAAUUCGAACGGUGACAAAACUGCUUGUAAUAUAACCCCGCUGAAAGUUAAUGUUACAAAUAUCACCAAUAAAUCGGUCACUUUGAAAUGGAAACCUUUUCAUAUGGAUGAUCAACGGAAGUUGUUGGCCUAUAUCAUUUACAUCAGAGAAGCUCCUUAUCGGAAUGUCACCUUGUAUGAUGGAAGAGAUGCAUGUGGCCUAGAUGAUUGGCGAGUAGUUGAUGUUCCCAAUCAAGAACACGAGUUGCCUAUUGAUCAACUAUUACCAAGUUUGAAACCUUACACCCAAUACGCGUUUUAUGUGAGAACAUACACAAUUGCUAGUGAGAGAAAUGGAUCCCAGAGUGAAAUUCAAUAUUUCCGUACCUUACCUUCAAUGCCCUCAUCUCCAGUGAAUUUGCAAGUGAUAAGUACUUCAUAUGACUCGCUCAGAAUAACUUGGGCACCUCCGACUCAUCCCAACGGUCAAAUCACGCAUUAUAUUGUAUCUGGCAAAAAACAUCAGAACGGUUACAUGUUUACAGAGGAUUGCCAAGACCAGAAAAAAAAAUACAUGACUUCUCCAACGAUACUCCCGAAAGAGGACCAUUCACCUACUAAUACGCCUGCCCCUCCAAAAAAAGAUACAUGCCAGUGUGACGAUAAUCGUCAAAUGAGGAUAACCAUUGACGAGCAAGAGGAAAUAGCAAGAAUAAAAUUUGAAGAUAAACUUCAUAAUGAAGUGUACCAAAAAAGGCCUCAAAAAAAGAAACGUUCUCCUCCGGAAUUUCCCAAGAACUCUAAUAAACUACAGUCACAUAUGUACAACCAAAUUAUAAAUGUCACCGAAAACGGUACUGACAUCUGGGAAUCUUUCAACUUUCCGGUUUAUGGAAAAACCAAUUUCACCAUAAACAAGCUCCAUCAUUAUACUCUUUAUGACAUCAAUGUGCAAGCUUGUCGAAAAAUAGAAGGAGAUAACGAUAAGGAUAGCCCCUGCAGCAGUACCAGUAUGCAAACUCAUAGAACGUUAUCAAAAUCUGGUGCAGAAAAAAUUGGGAAAGUCCAGAUAACCAAUCAGAGUAUGAAUAGUAUAACCAUAUCAUGGGAGCAGCCUGAGGAUCCAAAUGGUCAAAUAUCUAUGUAUUCUGUGGAAUACCAAAAUAUUGAUAUCGAAAAUUCAAGGCCAUAUUCUGAAUGUGUCAAUGCAAAGGAUAAGAAUAAAACAGUGGUUUAUACAAUUUCAAAACUAUUUGCUGGCAACUAUAGCUUAGUUGUUAAAGCAACUUCAUCUGCAGGUGUGGGAUAUUCGCAAGUCAUUUACUUCUAUAUCGAAGAGCCAUCAUCAAAUACUGUUCUCAUUGUUUGCGUCACCUUAUUUGUAUUUUUGUCUGUUUUAUUCUUUUUGGGAUGGCUUUAUAGGAAACAUCAGAAAGAGAGAGAGAGUCUUAGACUUUUUCAGACUGUAAAUCCAGAAUAUGUUCCCAGCGUUUACAUACCAGAUGAAUGGGAGGUUUCAAGAAAAAAAAUUGAUUUGAUCAAGGAAGUAGGUCAAGGCAGCUUUGGAAUGGUCUGGGAGGGAUUGGCCCAUGAUAUCAGAGGAAAAUCAGAACUGAGAUGUGCUGUUAAGACAGUUAAUGAACAUGCUACUGAUAGAGAGAGACUCGAAUUUCUAAAUGAAGCGUCUGUGAUGAAGGCAUUCGAUACAGCACAUGUUGUGAGGUUACUGGGAGUAGUGUCUCAAGGGCAGCCUACUUUGGUAAUAAUGGAGCUGAUGGCAAAUGGAGAUCUGAAGUCGUAUCUUCGAUCACACCGACCAGAUGUGGAAAAUUAUAAUCCUAAUCUCAUUAAGCAUCCUCCAUCUUUGAAACAAAUUUUACAAAUGGCUAUUGAAAUAGCUGAUGGCAUGGCAUAUUUAUCGGCAAAAAAAUUUGUACAUCGAGAUUUGGCUGCAAGAAACUGCAUGGUUUCUGAGGAUUUGACUGUUAAAAUUGGAGACUUUGGAAUGACCAGAGAUAUUUACGAGACAGAUUAUUAUCGAAAAGGGACAAAGGGCCUCUUACCUGUCAGAUGGAUGGCCCCUGAAAGUCUCAAAGAUGGCGUGUUCACAAGUAGUAGUGAUGUAUGGAGCUACGGUGUUGUCCUAUGGGAAAUGGCAACUCUCGCAUCACAACCAUACCAGGGUCUUUCAAACGAUCAAGUACUGCGAUAUGUUAUUGAUGGAGGAGUGAUGGAGAGACCUGAAAACUGUCCAGAUAAAUUAUAUACCUUGAUGAGAUAUUGUUGGCAACAUAAACCAACUUCUAGACCAUCAUUUCUGAAACUUUGUCAGUUGCUGUUGGAUGAUGCAAGUCCGAUAUUUUCAAAGGUAUCCUUUUAUCAUAGUCCCGCAGGAGUCGAGGCAAGAGCAUCACGAUCCACCUCUUCAGCGAGCAAAGAUGACCAAUCAACACCCCUACGUAAAGUUGCUGAGAAACUUCGAGGGUAUACCCCUUCACAUUCGCAAGAUUCAGAUGAGUUAGAUAUCGACACCCAUCAUCAAUUCCCCAGCAUAUCUGAGAGUGGUGUUGGUGUAAUAGCAACUGCCAACGGAUAUGUGAGUGGGUGUCCUACUAAUGGAGCGGCAACAACUCAAUGCUAGCUAGCCACAUAUCACUUCUUCAAUGCACCAAUGUAGUAUAGUCAUACAGUAAAUUGAUUCUGUUGAAUUAUGCUUUGCAUAUUAUCAGGCAGCUCACGUUUGUGUUACAUAGGUGCAGUGUGCGCCAUUAUAAUUAGUUUUUUCUCAAUUUCUGUAAUGUUGAAUGAAUUGUAUUUCGUAAGCAGUUUUUAAAACUAUGUUUGAGCUCUUUUUCAAUGUUCCUCCGUUUCAUAAUUCAAGUAAAUUAUUAUUAUUAUUUCUAUUUAUGAGAUUCCAAUCAAACCCAUUUUCUUGACACUGUUGGCCCAAGCUUGUGAAAGAUUUCAAGUUUAUAUUUCUUUUCGGCUAAGAUGCAAAUAAAGAAAAUCAGAGUGAUUUUUUGUACAAGCAGUGCCACUUUGUGUUGGUUUUACAAGUGUAUGAAAGUAUUCCUGUUAAAAGAUCUGAUUUUUUUGUUCAGCAAGAGACAUAUUGAAACAGCAUGACUCAUUGUAAAGUAGUUUUAAGAUGAAAUUACCAAAGAUAGUGAUAUUUAUGUACUGCAUUUGUCGGAAACCUACUUAUAAAAAUACCAAGCAAACAGCUCGAUAAUAGUAUUAAGAAUUUAGGUUAAUGAAACAUUCUCGCCUAACCAUGAAAGACUAGUCCUUUCCAAUUUACAUGAGGAUACUCUAGUUAGAAUACUUGUCUAUUAAUGAUAUUUUAUGUACAUGGACAGUGGAACUAAAUGCCUUAUUAAAUAAAAAUUAUGUACUGUACUGAUACGUCUAGAAUUCCUCAAAGACAUUAAUUUAAUAGAAAAGCAGUUGGGUAUCAUAUGCCAUUCAUCAAUACAUCGCAGCAUGAGUCUGAGUUCCUUUUAACCUGCCUGCACUUUGCAGACAAGUUGAAAAUUACGUUAUUAAUAACUACCUAUUACUAUUUAUAUUUUAAUUAUAUUUUGUACUCUGUGACAUAAUGUACAUUUCUCUAUUAUUUUAUAUAAAAUAAAAAUAAAUUAUAAUGAG